GUUGACAUACAAUGCAUUCUGGGUUUCACAUAAUCGUCUGUCGGACCAAAGAGGCUAUAACAAAAUGAGAUCUUCAGGCUCAAAGCAUCAGUCCACUAGAUAUGAACAGUUGACCGGCCAGAUAGGACCAGUCAGCCAGCCAGAUAUGAACAGUCGGAUAGGACAAAUGGGCUGGACCAGUCGAAAGGACUAGCAUGCCAGCUAGAUGGGACAAGUAGGCCGGUCAGAUUGGUCCAGUCGGUCAGCUGGCCAGCUGUACCAGUUGGCCGGACAGAUAUGAACAUUUGGCCGACCAGAUAGGACAAGAGAGCUAUAGUACCAGAUAGUACUAGUUGGCCGGCCAGAUAUGAACAUUUGGCCGGCCAGAUAGGACAAGAGAGCUAUAGUACCAGAUAGUACCAGUCGGCCGGCCAGAUAGGACCAGUCGGCCGGCCAGAUAGGACCAGUCGGCCGGCCAGAUGGGACGAGUCGGCCGAUCAGCCUGAAUAGUUCCAGUCGGCCAGACAGCCAGAUAGUACCAGUUGGCCGGCCAGAUGGGACCAGUUGGCUGGCCAGCCAGAUAGUAACAGUCACCUUCAUCUCCAAGUCCGACAACUAUUCAGUCAUACCCGCCAUCUUGUGACUCAUUCCGAUAUAGAAUUAUUCAAUACUUCAUGCUUUCUCUUUGCUUGAGCUCUGUCUCAGCCAAUCAGAAGAGCUCCUUAAAUGGUCAGAUGAAGACUGUUGCCCACGGUGACAAGAGUGGCAAAUGUUUUCGGGUUUGCUUUUCUUUCUUUUCUCCCUUACCCACUUAUUUUUCCCUCCCUCUUUUAUUUGGGUUCCGAUGUGAUUUCUAAUGGAAACAAACAAAAUAAAAAAAAUACUUUUUG